rnacentral:rRNA from 1 species
GGUACAGGGUGAUACUCCCGUACACUAAAACACACAGGUUGUGAACUCGAAGAGUAGGGCGGGACACGUGGUAUCCUGUCUGAAUAUGGGGGGACCAUCCUCCAAGGCUAAAUACUCCUGACUGACCGAUAGUGAACCAGUACCGUGAGGGAAAGGCGAAAAGAACCCCGGCGAGGGGAGUGAAAAAGAACCUGAAACCGUGUACGUACAAGCAGUAGGAGCCCACUAGUUGGGUGACUGCGUACCUUUUGUAUAAUGGGUCAGCGACUUAUAUUCUGUAGCAAGGUUAACCGUAUAGGGGAGCCGCAGGGAAACCGAGUCUUAACUGGGCGUUAAGUUGCAGGGUAUAGACCCGAAACCCGGUGAUCUAGCCAUGGGCAGGUUGAAGGUUGGGUAACACUAACUGGAGGACCGAACCGACUAAUGUUGAAAAAUUAGCGGAUGACUUGUGGCUGGGGGUGAAAGGCCAAUCAAACCGGGAGAUAGCUGGUUCUCCCCGAAAGCUAUUUAGGUAGCGCCUCGUGAAUUCAUCUUCGGGGGUAGAGCACUGUUUCGGCUAGGGGGUCAUCCCGACUUACCAACCCGAUGCAAACUACGAAUACCGAAGAAUGUUAUCACGGGAGACACACGGCGGGUGCUAACGUCCGUCGUGAAGAGGGAAACAACCCAGACCGCCAGCUAAGGUCCCAAAGUCAUGGUUAAGUGGGAAACGAUGUGGGAAGGCCCAGACAGCCAGGAUGUUGGCUUAGAAGCAGCCAUCAUUUAAAGAAAGCGUAAUAGCUCACUGGUCGAGUCGGCCUGCGCGGAAGAUGUAACGGGGCUAAACCAUGCACCGAAGCUGCGGCAGCGACACUAUGUGUUGUUGGGUAGGGGAGCGUUCUGUAAGCCGUUGAAGGUGGCCUGUGAGGGUUGCUGGAGGUAUCAGAAGUGCGAAUGCUGACAUAAGUAACGAUAAUGCGGGUGAAAAACCCGCACGCCGGAAGACCAAGGGUUCCUGUCCAACGUUAAUCGGGGCAGGGUGAGUCGACCCCUAAGGCGAGGCCGAAAGGCGUAGUCGAUGGGAAACAGGUUAAUAUUCCUGUACUCGGUGUUACUGCGAAGGGGGGACGGAGAAGGCUAUGUUGGCCGGGCGACGGUUGUCCCGGUUUAAGCAUGUAGGCGGAUGUUCCAGGUAAAUCCGGAACGUUAUUAACGCUGAGGUGUGAUGACGAGGCACUACGGUGCUGAAGUGACAAAUGCCCUGCUUCCAGGAAAAGCCUCUAAGCAUCAGGUAACAUCAAAUCGUACCCCAAACCGACACAGGUGGUCAGGUAGAGAAUACCAAGGCGCUUGAGAGAACUCGGGUGAAGGAACUAGGCAAAAUGGUGCCGUAACUUCGGGAGAAGGCACGCUGAUGGUAGGUGAAGCGACUUGCUCGUGGAGCUGAAAUCAGUCGAAGAUACCAGCUGGCUGCAACUGUUUAUUAAAAACACAGCACUGUGCAAACACGAAAGUGGACGUAUACGGUGUGACGCCUGCCCGGUGCCGGAAGGUUAAUUGAUGGGGUUAUCCGUAAGGAGAAGCUCUUGAUCGAAGCCCCGGUAAACGGCGGCCGUAACUAUAACGGUCCUAAGGUAGCGAAAUUCCUUGUCGGGUAAGUUCCGACCUGCACGAAUGGCGUAAUGAUGGCCAGGCUGUCUCCACCCGAGACUCAGUGAAAUUGAACUCGCUGUGAAGAUGCAGUGUACCCGCGGCAAGACGGAAAGACCCCGUGAACCUUUACUAUAGCUUGACACUGAACACUGGUCCUUGAUGUGUAGGAUAGGUGGGAGGCUUUGAAGUGUGGACGCCAGUCUGCAUGGAGCCAUCCUUGAAAUACCACCCUUUAAUGGCUGGUGUUCUAACGUGGGCCCCUGAUCGGGGUUGCGGACAGUGUCUGGUGGGUAGUUUGACUGGGGCGGUCUCCUCCUAAAGAGUAACGGAGGAGCACGAAGGUCAGCUAAUCCUGGUCGGACAUCAGGAGGUUAGUGCAAUGGCAUAAGCUGGCUUGACUGCGAGCGUGACGGCGCGAGCAGGUGCGAAAGCAGGUCAUAGUGAUCCGGUGGUUCUGAAUGGAAGGGCCAUCGCUCAACGGAUAAAAGGUACUCCGGGGAUAACAGGCUGAUACCGCCCAAGAGUUCAUAUCGACGGCGGUGUUUGGCACCUCGAUGUCGGCUCAUCACAUCCUGGGGCUGAAGUAGGUCCCAAGGGUAUGGCUGUUCGCCAUUUAAAGUGGUACGCGAGCUGGGUUUAGAACGUCGUGAGACAGUUCGGUCCCUAUCUGCCGUGGGCGCUGGAGAAUUGAGGGGGGCUGCUCCUAGUACGAGAGGACCGGAGUGGACGCAUCACUGGUGUUCGGGUUGUCAUGCCAAUGGCAUUGCCCGGUAGCUAAAUGCGGAAGAGAUAAGUGCUGAAAGCAUCUAAGCACGAAACUUGCCCCGAGAUGAGUUCUCCCUGACUCUUUGAGGGUCCUGAAGGAACGUUGAAGACGACGACGUUGAUAGGCCGGGUGUGUAAGCGCAGCGAUGCGUUGAGCUAACCGGUACUAAUGAACCGUGAGGCUUAACCUU